rnacentral:rRNA from 1 species
AUGCAAUUGAGCACACGCUCUCCCCAGGAUCACCCGAAUGCUUGUCCACGACACGCCCUGAAAACACAUAUCGUUACGCAUAGUCCAAAUGCUCCAAAUGGUAGCAACACAAGCAAUGUUAACAAUAGAAACAAUAGUCUUCUUGUUAUUAGCACCCCACGGAUCAGACAGGGUUUUCAUGCAAUGUGGAUAUCUAAAGUUAAAGGAUUCAACAAUGUUUUUCUAGGUUUCUUUUGCAACUACACAAUCGAAAAACAAAUGGUUCACAGACUCGUUUUCACAGCAAAACAAGCAGGUUUUAUCAUCCACAUGACGUCUCUUGGCUAG